rnacentral:rRNA from 1 species
AACGAACGCUGGCGGCGCGUCUUAAGCAUGCAAGUCGAACGGCAUGAGGAAGCUUGCUUCCUCAGAGAGUGGCGGACUGGUGAGUAACACGUGGGUGACCUACCCUUGAGAUGGGGAUAGCCGUUAGAAAUAGCGGAUAAUACCGAAUACGCUCUACGGACUCUGGUUUGUAGAGGAAACAGGCUACGGCCUGGCUCGAGGAUGGGCCCGCGUCCCAUUAGCUAGUUGGUGAGGUAAGAGCCCACCAAGGCGACGAUGGGUAUCCGGCCUGAGAGGGUGUACGGACACAUUGGGACUGAGAUACGGCCCAAACUCCUACGGGAGGCAGCAGCUAAGAAUAUUCCGCAAUGGACGAAAGUCUGACGGAGCGACGCCGCGUGGAUGACGAAGGCCGAAAGGUUGUAAAAUCCUUUGCUGAUGAAGAAUAAGCGUGGUAGGGAAUGACCGCGUGAUGACAUUAGUCGGUGAAUAAGCCCCGGUAACUACGUGCCAGCAGCCG